rnacentral:lncRNA from 1 species
UUUUUUUUAAACAUUUUUUUUCUAUUACAGUGUCCCUGAAGUCAUCUUCCACCCUGUUAGUACAUACUUUUUCGUCUUCCAAAACCAAAUGCGAUUUCAUUGAGACCAUUUUCAAGAAGUGACAUCAUUUAUUUUUCCCAUUGGAAAUUCAACUGUACAAACUGAGGCAAAGACAGCAAGGUCAACGUCAGGAAAGUAGAAAUUAAAAAAAGACUCCAAAGAGAAAUUGAAAAGCUUAAAAUGGCCCUUGUUAAAGGAAAAUAAAAAAAAGAGAAAUACAAGAAGAGGUGGCAAUGGAGUCAGACAAAGACCAAUGGCCAUUUUGGGUUGUAACCCCCACUGAAAGUAAAACCCAUGAAAAUAUCGGGUUAAUGGCCAAGUACCUUGUUUAAAUGUGGGCUUUUAU